CCUUCUCCUCCUGCCCCCAGUCCCUCCCAGCAUCACAGUCUUUUCCAAUGAGUCAACUCUUCGCAUGAAGUGGCCAACGUACCGGAGUUUCAGCUUUAGCAUCAUUCCUUCCAAAGAACACCCAGGAGUAUCAGCCUCUAAACACUGGCUUCUGGGGUGGAUUUCCUUUGGGGGAACCAACAGUCGUGUUUGAUCCUACUUCAUGGCUGGAAUGGGGCAAGAACAGAAGUGGCCCUGAGAGGACAGGCACAUCCAUUUCCUAACUCUGACGGACCAGUAAAAAUCACUGAAACGUGGCAGCCAUCUUUGUCUCCCCCUCACUCGCCCCGCUUCAUCCGUGAAAAGUCCAGUUGCUGUGGAUUCUGCGUCUCCAGUCUCCCAAAAAUCUGACAAGAACCUGCAGCUGCACUGGUUAUAGUCUCAGACUGUGAUUCCCCAGCCAGGUGCCAGGACAAUGGCUAUCUAUUAAUAUCCUAUGCCAGCUGUUACCUCAACAUGUGGGAUGCCCAGGCAUUGGGGAGAAAGACUCGAUUUUGUCUGCGGCCUCCCCUUACAUUUUUGUUAUUUACCGAAUUUAAUCUUCAAAACAAGCCUGGAGGCAUUACUGUCCACAUGUUUGCAAAUGAGGACACAGGCUGAAGGAGGAAGAGCUGAGACACUCAAUAUUCCAGGAGCCAAACUUGAGAUCUCAGAGUCAGGUAUCAACCUGACUCUUCGUACUAUGAGACUGAAGAACAGCAGUAAAGUUCUCAGAUCAGGAUCUGAUCCCACCGGCUCAACUACUCAACCACUGGGAAGACGCUACCAUGCGGAUGGAUACUGUCAGUGGGCUCCCCCUGCUGGAAGAGUCAAUGAUAUACUCAAACUGCUCUCUGGCUGUAUUUUUACCUGUGUCUCCAGGUAAAAUUAACCAAUAAUUUUCCUUUCUUGUUCAGUCCUUAGAUUCAAGGUUACAUUAUUCUCAUAACAUGAAUUCGAAGAUUGAUCCUACUUAACUACUCUUUGGAAUAUUAGGUAUAAGAUGAAAAUUAUCUGUUCUGUUGCUUGAAGAGUCAGUCAACUUGCUUAUAAAACCAUUUUGGC
ensembl:lncRNA